AACGACUCUCGACAACGGAUAUCUCGGCUCUCGCAUCGAUGAAGAACGUAGCGAAAUGCGAUACUUGGUGUGAAUUGCAGAAUCCCGUGAACCAUCGAGUCUUUGAACGCAAGUUGCGCCCGAAGCCACUCGGCUGAGGGCACGCCUGCCUGGGUGUCACGC
rnacentral:rRNA from 2 species